rnacentral:rRNA from 1 species
AAACUGGGAUUAGAUACCCCACUAUGUCCAACCGUAAACUUUAACUUACACACCAAUCGCCAGGGAACUACGAGCAAAGCUUAAAACCCAAAGGACUUGACGGUACCCCACAUCCACCUAGAGGAGCUUGUCCUAUAAUCGAUAACCCCCGUUUAACCUCACCAUUUUUAGUUUUAUCAGCCUGUAUACCUCCGUCGUCAGCUUACCACGUGAGUGAACUGUAGUGAGCUUAAUGACUUUUUGCCAAUACGUCAGGUCAAGGUGCAGCAAAUAAAAUGGGAAGAGAUGAGCUACACUCUCUAAAAUAGAACAUACAAAAGACUAAUUAUGAAAUCUAGUCAGAAGGCGGAUUUAGCAGUAAAAAGAAACUAGAAUGUUCUUUUUAACCCGGCACUGGGGUGUGUACACACCGCCCGUCACCCUCCUCAAAGCUAAAAAACAGUAUUUAACUAUUAUACGCACUACAGAAGAGGCAAGUCGUAACAUGGUAAGUAUACCGGAAGGUGUGCUUGGAUUA